GGAAACCAAAAGUAAAUCCACGAGAGUUUGUUCAAAGUGGACAAUAUCAUACCAUUAUGGAGGGUCCGUGAUUCCUAAGAAGAUAGUCAUUCUAUGGAUGCAAAUUCUGUUAAUUCAAAUGGUAACUUCCAUCAAUCACUGAUACUGCCAUCUUUGAGGAACAUUAUAUAUUUUCCCCUUGUGACAGAGAAACGUCGAGGAACCUACUUGACCGUGGACACGAGAAAUAUCCGGUCCCAUAUCGAGAAAUUCUGUAUAAUAUUGAUGUAUCAAUGGCGUUGAUGGUCUGCAUCUGUUGCGAUAUGGUCAUUCCUCAUUUCCAAAAGUGAAGACUAUCCCUACAAAUCAACUCGAGUUCUUUCAGCAUGGUUAGUCUUUACUUACAUGCAUUUUAGGAAAAUUCCUAAGAGGUCACCAAACAUAAAAUUGCUCUAAACGAAGCACGCUUAAUCAUGGAAUUCCUAUGAUUAAACCACCAAAAAGGAAGAUGCACGACUUUCAAUUCUUUUAAGCAUUUCUUAGUCAUUAUAUCUUCAGGAUUACUCUCGUUCGGAUGUGGUCUCAAUUCAUUCAUAUACCCUUCCUUUAUUCAGCUGUCACACUUCAAAUGCAUUUUGAACGAGUACUAAUAUCAUUGUUAUGUUUAUAUGAAUCCGGAGU